GACGGCCUCGGAAGAGCGAUCCGAGAGCUGGCAGAACCCCUGUCUCCUGCGUGAGCGAUCGUGGGAGACACAGUUCUGUGCAACGGAUUCCGAAAAGACUUGGUGGGUUCGCCAAGAAGCUUUUAGCGCGGCGAAUUUGGUUGUCCCGAUGGUGGCAUCGCUUGGGAGGGACAGCGUCCUUCUCGCGACCUCAGCAGCCCCC
rnacentral:sRNA from 10 species